UUCUAGUUCCUACGUUACUCGGACUUGGGCUCCUACCUUUUCCAUUAGCAAUAAAAAAACGUCGCCGUAUCCGGGCUUUUACAAGUGUUUUAUUUUUAAGUAUAGUUAUGGUUUUUUCAAUCAAUCCCUCUAUUCACCAAAUAGAGAAUGGUUAUAUCUAUCAAUAUAUAUGGUCUUGGACCAUCAAUAAUGAUUUUUCUUUAGAAUUUGGAUACUUAAUUGACCCACUUACUUCUAUUUUGUCAAUUUUAAUUACUACAGUUGGCAUUUUGGUUCUUAUUUAUAGUGACAAUUAUAUGUCUCAUGAUCAAGGAUAUUUGAGAUUUUUUGCAUAUAUGAGUUUUUUCACUAAUUUAAUGUUAACAUUAGUUACUAGUUCAAAUUUAAUACAAAUUUAUAUUUUUUGGGAAUUGGUUGGAAUGUGUUCUUAUUUACUAAUAGGUUUUUGGUUUGCACGACCUAUUGCCUCGAAUGCUUGUAUUUGCACAACCUAUUGCCUCGAAUGCUUGUCAAAAAGCUUUUUUAACUAAUCGUGUUGGGGAUUUUGGUUUAUUAUUAGGAAUUUUAGGUCUUUAUUGGCUAACGGGUAGUUUCGAAUUUCGGGAUUUGUUUGAAAUAGUCAAUAACUUAAAUAAGGAGGUUAAUCCUUUAUUUGUUACGUUUUGUGCCUUACUAUUAUUUUCUGGUCCAAUUGCCAAAUCUGCGCAAUUUCCUCUUCAUGUAUGGUUACCAGACGCGAUGGAAGGACCCACUCCUAUUUCGGCUCUCAUACACGCUGCUACAAUGGUAGCGGCGGGUAUUUUUCUUGUAGCCCGCCUUCUUCCUCUUUUCCUCGUUAUACCUUACAUAAUAAAUCUGAUAGCUUUGGUAGGAAUAAUAACCGUACUUUUAGGAGCUACUUUAGCUCUUGCUCAAAAAGAUAUUAAGAAAAGUUUAGCCCCUUGCUCAAAUAGAUAUUAAGAAAAGUUUAGCCUAUUCUACAAUGUCU
rnacentral:lncRNA from 1 species